rnacentral:rRNA from 1 species
AUGAACGCUAGCUACAGGCUUAACACAUGCAAGUCGAGGGGCAGCAUGGUCUUAGCUUGCUAAGGCCGAUGGCGACCGGCGCACGGGUGAGUAACACGUAUCCAACCUGCCGUCUACUCUUGGACAGCCUUCUGAAAGGAAGAUUAAUACAAGAUGGCAUCAUGAGUCCGCAUGUUCACAUGAUUAAAGGUAUUCCGGUAGACGAUGGGGAUGCGUUCCAUUAGAUAGUAGGCGGGGUAACGGCCCACCUAGUCUUCGAUGGAUAGGGGUUCUGAGAGGAAGGUCCCCCACAUUGGAACUGAGACACGGUCCAAACUCCUACGGGAGGCAGCAGUGAGGAAUAUUGGUCAAUGGGCGAGAGCCUGAACCAGCCAAGUAGCGUGAAGGAUGACUGCCCUAUGGGUUGUAAACUUCUUUUAUAAAGGAAUAAAGUCGGGUAUGGAUACCCGUUUGCAUGUACUUUAUGAAUAAGGAUCGGCUAACUCCGUGCCAGCAGCCGCGGUAAUACGGAGGAUCCGAGCGUUAUCCGGAUUUAUUGGGUUUAAAGGGAGCGUAGAUGGAUGUUUAAGUCAGUUGUGAAAGUUUGCGGCUCAACCGUAAAAUUGCAGUUGAUACUGGAUAUCUUGAGUGCAGUUGAGGCAGGCGGAAUUCGUGGUGUAGCGGUGAAAUGCUUAGAUAUCACGAAGAACUCCGAUUGCGAAGGCAGCCUGCUAAGCUGCAACUGACAUUGAGGCUCGAAAGUGUGGGUAUCAAACAGGAUUAGAUACCCUGGUAGUCCACACGGUAAACGAUGAAUACUCGCUGUUUGCGAUAUACUGCAAGCGGCCAAGCGAAAGCGUUAAGUAUUCCACCUGGGGAGUACGCCGGCAACGGUGAAACUCAAAGGAAUUGACGGGGGCCCGCACAAGCGGUGGAGCAUGUGGUUUAAUUCGAAGCAACGCGAAGAACCUUACCAGGUCUUGACAUCGAUCUAAAGGCUCCAGAGAUGGAGAGAUAGCUAUAGAGAAGACAGGUGGUGCAUGGUUGUCGUCAGCUCGUGCCGUGAGGUGUCGGCUUAAGUGCCAUAACGAGCGCAACCCUUGUUGUCAGUUACUAACAGGUUCCGCUGAGGACUCUGACAAGACUGCCAUCGUAAGAUGUGAGGAAGGUGGGGAUGACGUCAAAUCAGCACGGCCCUUACGUCCGGGGCUACACACGUGUUACAAUGGGGGGUACAGAGGGCCGCUACCACGCGAGUGGAUGCCAAUCCCCAAAACCUCUCUCAGUUCGGACUGGAGUCUGCAACCCGACUCCACGAAGCUGGAUUCGCUAGUAAUCGCGCAUCAGCCACGGCGCGGUGAAUACGUUCCCGGGCCUUGUACACACCGCCCGUCAAGCCAUGGGAGCCGGGGGUACCUGAGGUGCGUAACCGCGAGGAGCGCCCUAGGGUAAAACUGGUGACUGGGGCU